AUUUUUUUGGUAAAAUUUUGUUUCUUGAAUUUCUUUGGUUAAAUUUUUGCUGUUACAGUUUUUGCGUUGGCUGAGAUUUAUAUCCACUCAGCGGAGAGUAAAGCUUUCAAGUCGCGAAACUUAAUUUAUAGGAUG